CAAACAAUUCUCUAACAACAACUCAAGAGGGCUAAAUUAUGGGCUGGCCAGUUCCCAUAACGUCGCAUUCCUCAAGCGCCAGAAAGUUAGGAUUAGAGUUUACAUCGCCACGCCGCGUCUGCGAAUCCCAAAUAAAAUUCUUUUGUUUUUUGUAUAAGUACUUAUUUUUUGUCGGAAGCGACCGGUGAGAUAUUAAGGCAAUGACGUAUCCGAAGGUGUAUUACUGGUUGCCUGGGGUCACAAAUUAUUUUUCCAAUUAGUUUGCUGAACAAAGUUAAAUUAUUGCUUCCUAGAUACUCGAAAUAGAAGGUAAAUUAAGGAUAAGAAAAUGACAUGUCAAUUUCUCAUAAUGAAUAGUUGGCUUCCAAUAUUGUAGAAGGACCAGAAAAAAAACAAUAAAAGUGUUCAGCUUCAAAUAAUACUGAAACAAUAACCAAAUCCUGCUUCGUAAGUAGUGUCCAAACCAAAUCACAGAAGUUCUAAAAAGGACCAAUCGCUUGUUUCAAGAUGAACUUAGAGCUAUGUACUGGCAAAAUUCAAGAUAUUUGUGGAAUAAUUACUAGAGAACGAUACAAAUAUUCGUAGAAAUGUGAUUAAAACUGUUGUGAGAUAUUGUAAUAAGCUUGUACGACCUGUUCAAAACAAAUGUACGUUCAAACUGAUCUGUAGUAAAAAGUAAAAAAUAGUCUUACAACGAAGAAAACUGUGUAAAUAAUUCACAUGAGAAAUUAUAUUGGAAAUAAUGAAGAUUACAAAUUCAGCAGGUUCCCCUAGACUUUGAGGAAAUGGCACUUAUUUCUCCAGCUGGCUUGAUCCAUUCGACUUUGUUAUAGGAUAAAAUUGUAAGCAAUCUUCCCCUAGAGGAAAUUCACAUACUGAAUCUUAACGGAGGCUGGGAAUCCUUAGAUCUGAUUUUCUCAUAAUAAUAAUCUAGAUAUUCCAACGUAAUUUCUAGAUCCUGUUCUCCUGUGUAACUUUUAAAUCAAAAUACCAAAGAUGUGUUCAAUAUGAACAGUCAGAUACAGAGGAACUAUGGAAGGUUGAGGCACAGUCAUGCGGCAGCUAUUGGGUUUACCAAGAUUAUUCUUAAGAUAAAAUUGUAAGCGGUGACUAAUUCUAGAUUUUAGUAAUUAUCCUGCGCAUCCGCCAUUUUCUUCAGAAGUAUUUAAUUUUCCUGAAAAUUUCGAAGCCAUACAAAAAUGGUUUUUACUCUGAACUACCUCGAAUUAAAUUUCUAUCGGCCAAUCGAAUAUCGUCGAAGAACGAGAAAGAACAAUAAAAGAUUUUCUACAACAAAUCGAUGGAUGUAUACAGUUCCAUGGCAAUACAUUUUAUCCUUUGCAUGAAUAUAUAGUAUGGCCAAUGCAUCAGGACUUAUAUCUAAAAUGUUAUUGGCUUCGGAAAAAUGCCUUUUUAAAUUUGUACCUUCGCCAUUUUGUCAAGAAGGUCAGAAUUAUUUUUGACUGUGGACUAGCCAAAUGACCUAUAAGUUCAAGCCACUUAAAAAUAUAGAAGAAGAAAAUCUAUGUCGAAUCUGUGGUUGCGAAGUUGCGAUUUGCGAUUCUUUCUUGUUUUGUUUCUGUCUGGUUUCUGUAUUUUGUUUAUAUUCUCAUGAAAAUAAUAAAUCGGUGUUAGUAUACUCAAUAAUAUCAUACAAGAGAAUGGUGUCUUUCUGCAUUCUUCCACAGAAGAGGAGACCUGGAUCAUCAUCUAACUUUGAUGUUCGGCUUUCGAGGACCUGCAUAGCAUACAUGGGUACCCAAGGAAGUUACCACUCUCUAUGUCUAGGAGCUGGGUGAUGCUUAAUCUUCGACAAAGGGUUAAAUCAGGUGCAGGAAGAUGAAUACGCAUCAGGAGACAGAGAUUUAUGAUAAAUGGAGGCUAACAUGACAUAGUUGGGCUCUAUCUUGUAUUAAAUUUCUUAACACUACAUUACAAAGAAUUAAAUGGAUGAAAAAUUUAUGUUUUUUUCUCAGGGUUUUUGUGGAAAUCUGCAUUUGGUCUUCAAGAAGCUAUUUGAAUGGUACUUGGGAACACGGCACUGCAAAUAUUACUACACUGAGACACUGGCUGUGUUGAAACAAUUUUCACGCUUAAAAGAUGUUUUCCCAUUACUUCUCAAUAUUAAAAAGCAUAUUCUGUGGCAAUGUGCAGGUGAUUUGCAACAAACACUUAUAAGAAUGGGAUGUACCAACAGUGCCAUGCAGGUACUACUUUGCUGAGACAUUGACUGGCUUCAGGCAACUAUUCGCCUUAAAAAAUGUUUAUGGUACUGGUUCCGUAACAACUGCAGCUGUUUUUGGUACUCCUACUUAUUUGAUCCUCCUGUAUAUUCCCCAUUGAAGAUAUAGAACAGAACGCGGACUUGCGAUAGGAACACUUCGUUUUGAUCACACUGAUCCCAUUUUUUUAAUUCUACGAUUUUUUAAAGUAAAAUUUAGAUAAAAUGCUUAAAUUCUAUAAUUCGUACAAACGCAAAUGUUUUUAUAUAAUUUAAGUUAAAAUUCAAAUAUUUAUAUUUUUAAAACUAGUAUAUCGUCUAGAAUAUAUUUUAGUUAAUUCUAGUUGGUAAAAAAUUAUGGAAUUUAAAAUUAUCUAAAUUUUAUUUAUUGAUUAUUUGCAGUGUUAACACAACAGUGUUCCACACAACCUGUUCGGAAAGUGGAAAAUAUAUUUCAAAAUACAACUUAAUAGAAAAUAAAUAUUUUAAAUUGGAUCCCAAAAUAAUUUUUAAUGGACCGGUUGUGUGGAUACUUUGUAUGUCUUAUACCGUUAUAUAAGCGAUUCUCUCUCUAAAAAAAGGAUUUUAAAUUGAUAUUUUUUAUAUGGGCAUUAUAAAUGCAAAAGUGUAUUAAAUGGCGAAUGCGCCAGGAAAAGAGAAUAUUGAAAUUCAUAGAUUUUUUAAAAAAAAUGUAAAAGUAAGAUUGAGAUAAGAUAAAUUCUGUAAUUUAAAUAUUAAUUUCAAUAUAAAUGCGUUUAUUUUUAUAUAUUUUAUGCAACAAUAUUUUAAUUCAACCGGAAUAAUAAUUGAAUAUUUUUUAAACUAUCUUUUCUGAAAUAUGUCUUAGUUAUAAAAAAUUACAGGAUUCAAAAUUAUCUAAAUGUUAUUCAACUAUCAUUCGCAAGCUUU